GCUGACCCGCGCUCUACCCGGCAGGCAGCGCGCUGCGUGGCCUCCCCCGGCGGAGGCUGAGGUGGGGCGCCGCGGUCCGGCGAUGUGAGGUGUCUCCGCCAGCGCCGCUGCCUCCCGUCCACCCGCCAGCCCGUGACCGAGCCGGACCGCGCAGCACGGCCUCGUCCAAACCCGAACUUGCAGUCUCCGUUGGAGUCCUUGCGGUCACCCGGCGCGGGUAGGCAGGACGGUCGGGCUGCGCCAGAGGCGGCGGCGUGCGUGCGGAGAAGCAGCUGCUCGGCUACCCGGCGGGACUUGGCUUUCUCCCGCGGCCUCGCACCCAUCGCAGCUCGGGGGUGUGAACUUCUGACUCGUUUGCAAAGGCAAUAUUGCCCAUCCCUAGGCGGAGCUUAUACCACCUCAUGGCAGAGAGGCUGGUGUUGACUGUUUAGGUUUGGUUUUGAGGGAAGUUGCUUUAUACUUCGGCGUUUUAAAGCUUCCACGUUCAGUUUCAGCUUGGUCAUUGUUUCUUUGCUGCUGAAACAAAUGCAGGACUCUAUAAAAAUAAAACCGCUUACAGUCAUGAUGCUGUGGAUUGCGCACUUCUCUACAACUAACGCGCCAUGUGCUUGUAUGGGAAGUUAUCUGAAAAAUACAAUGUGCAUGCUCACCAUAUAUUGUUUACAGCACAAAUCAUAACUUCCAUGUUCAUUUAAAGUGCAGCUAUUAACUGCACUUCAGUUAAUAAGGGAAAAAAUAUUUUAAUAAUUCACUGGUGCUCAUAUUAUGGAAAGAUGACAAGGCCAGCAGGAGAACUUUCUGUUUAAAGUAGAUGUCCUUGCUCUUUAAGCUCACUGCCAAUUCCAUACUGGUGAUUUGGUUUCAGUUCUUUUAAGCAAAUCCAGAGAAGUGUUGAGUGUGGGAAAGCUCACUUGACUUUAAGAGAGGAACAGGUGAAUUGCAUCUAAAGUAGUAUAUGGGAUUUCAAUAACUCUAAAUCUGAUUGCAGCUGCAUUUCUUAUGGUUUUAUAUUGUAUUGAUUAUGAUUAAGGUGCUCUUCUACAGAUCACUUUCUGCUGUUUUGGCUAAGCUGUUAUACUGUUGUUACAUUUAGUAAUGUAUCAUUUUUGUUGAUUCAAUGCGCGUGCUUUUAAAUACAGUUUAAAAACAAAAAAAAACACACACAAAAAAAGAACAAACAAAAAACCAAACAAAUAAACGACCCUCCUGAUUUUUAAUAAACUUAGUUGUGCUUAAACAUAAUUGCCAUGAUAAAUAAAGGUGUUUGAACUAGUGCUUUUAAAACCCUUAUUUUAUGAGAACCUUAUUACUCUUGUGCAAUAAGUUUUUUUUUUUUUUUUUUUUCUUUCCAUCUUGUAUCAGUUCAUUGCUUGUCUGGUAACAAUAACAAUGUUCUUAGAAUUGUAUUUUUACAGGUUGAUUAUCUCUGCCUGCCUAAUAAAUUUACAUGGCUAGCCAUAGGUUUUGCUGGGCAGUUGCCUUAAAAAGUAUUAUCUUGGUACAGUUUAAUGAUACUUUUAAGUGCUUUAAAGAACUAGUUCACAAUUUUGACACUUGCUAUCCUGGAACAAUGGUUUAAAAACUUUUUAUGUUACAUACAUUAUUUCACUGGAGUUUUGGACCUCUCCGAUCCAUGGUCUACCCUUAAGGAGAUUUCUGUAUGAAUAUGUAUAUAUGCUUAUACAUCUUAAAAAAUGAGGGAAAUAGUUUGCUGUCAGUAAGUUUAUCUUUCUCAUCCUGGGGUCUGCACCUCCACUGGGAAACAUUUGUGGAGAGUGGGGAAGGAUUCACUGUUGGGUUUGGCUUUGGCUUUGAGAGCAACCACUAGCCGGAUUCCUGGAUUUUCUAAGUUAAUGUAGUUAAAGAAGCCAAAAACUUGGAAUUUAGUUGUAAUCUAAAAAUGGAUGUAGAGACUUCCUUUGGUAACGGAGACCAUUUGAGCAGAUCUGGACGCUUGUAAUAGAACCCAUUCCCCCUUACUGCAACUUUGAUUGCUCAGGCGACACGUUUUUUGACCUCUCAGUUGUGCCGGUAAAACUGUUAGUGGGCCAAGUUAUUUUUAACCUGCACUGGUUCAUGUUUUAGUCCCUAGAAAAGUUGUACUAGCACAACUGAGGGAGCAGUGCAGGAGCAGGAUGGGAACCCAUUAGGUUGGCUUUGUUGUCAGGAAAAAAAGUCAGUGAAAGCUUGGCUUCAAAUUAUAGUAUUGAGAUUAAAAGAAAUAGACUAAAAGGUCUGAAAUAAUCUUGAUACUUAUCUUUUGAAAGCUGCUGUAUGUUUUGAGUCACCUUUUCAGAGUACCUUAACGUAUACAUCCUGAUUCAUAAAAUGAAAUAUCCUUAAGAGGUGCCACCAGUUAGUGUAACUUUCUUGAAGUCCAUGGUUAUGUUAUGAAAUUACUUUUAACUGUAAAAAAAAAAAUCAGCUGCCUUAUAGUGUAGCUGAGGUUAUCGCAUGCAUCUUGUUAAAUUUUGCUAACAUACAGAUUGCUGGUGCCUAUUUUGUGUUUUUAGUGUAAAUUACACAUGCUCUCAUUUGCAUUCUCUGAGCACUUUUUAUAAUUGAUUACUUUUUUACUUAAGGUCAAAUACAACUUUUUUUUUUUUUUUAUGAUGAAAAAAACCCCACAACUCAUGUUUAUGUUGUCAGUUCCAUGAAAAAAAGAAUCUGAAAAUCAUCUUUCAUUGUGCCUUGAAGUCUAAUAAACUUUGCCUCUGUGUUAGUAAAGAAAAGGUGUUCUAAGGAAUGUCCUUCAAGAGAGUCACACUCUGGAAAAGACCUUUAAGAUCAUCAUAUCCAACCAUUACCCCAGAACUGCCAAGUCCACAAUUAAACCAUAUAUAAUAAAGAUAAGUAGUUUAAGAGAUACCAGUUUAUGAUUAUGAAUGUAAUCCUGAUUUAUUUUUUUUUUUCCCCACGUUGUGUGUAAGGAUUCAGUGACAUAAACAUAUACAUUAGUGCUGAUCUGAUACCUUGGCUAUUGGGUUUAGGAAGUUAAACUGUCAGAGAACUUCCUGCUGCAUAAUGGUGGGAAGUCAGGUUUCCUAGUCUAGUUUGCUUUGUCAGGUAAGUGUUGCAUCAGCGUAAGAAUGAAAAGUCUUGGUAAUGCUUUUUGUUGGGAGUAGCCUGGUAAUAAGACCAGAAAUACUGAUUGUGGCCUUCAUGAAAGGAACUGUGGCUCAGAUAGUCGAAGUUUUUUGUCAGAGCAGUCCAGUUAUGAAUUAAAUUUCAUCUGCUUAACUGCGCGUUAAUUUAAAGGAAUUCCUGUAGUGUUUGGAUAUUAAUAUUUGUAUACUGGCUGGGUUCUUCAGGCAAAACUGCAUUGUUUCCCCUCCAAUUCACCAAAUAAUGUAGCCACUGAAUUUUGUUAAGUUCUGUCUCUAAAGCAAAGCAAGUACCUUUGUAUGGGGGGCCCUGGUCCAGGUUAUUGCUGAGACAGCACUGUGGUUUUAUGUAAUUUCUGGUCUUACUAGCAGUUAGAUCAUUGGUAGUGUGUGUAAAGAAAUAUGAAAGUUUCCUAUUUCCAUACAGGAAAGUUCAGAAGUACUUUCGAGAUUAUGUUAGAGGAUGUGAAAAGAAAGAAGAAAACUUAAUUGGCAUCAUUAUUUAAAAAAAACCCCGAAACCUAAGAAAAACACAAAUCAAACCCAGUUGUUUGAAGUGCUGAUGUUAAUUUGGUAAAUUCCAAAAGUUACAUAUUUUCAUUACUAUUUUCAUACUAGACUUUUAUUCCAUGCUGUAAGAUUAAGUCUCCAGGCACAAGG
rnacentral:lncRNA from 1 species